UAGGGUAUGAGAAGGAGUUUUAAACUGGAAAGUGGAUAUUGGAAUCGGACUACGACAUCAUAAUGCUGACGACUGCUAUAUAGGGCCAGCGCUGAAAUGGAAAAGCAAGUGGCAAAUGCUUGAGUAGAUGCAGCUUCAGACCACAGUGAUACUCUGUAAACGACUUAAUAAGUAUAGGAGCCCCAAGUCCGGAUAUACCGUAAGGCAUUUCCUGUUCACAGGGCAGCCAAAUGAACAAAAGGCAAUAACGAAAUGUGAGGGAAUGUGAGUGCAACGGGACGAAUCGAAAUGAAAUGAAUCGAACGAUGAGUACGAAUAGGAGACGCCCCGCCUCGCCAUGCCAUGCCAUGCCACACGUCACGAGAUGCGAGGAGAGGAAACGUGACUAGGCCAAUGUUAAGGGCACUGACGUCGGUCUCUGGGGAUGCUGCAACUGUGCCGCCGCUGUUCUUGCCACAUUGCCACACAUUGACGUGGGCACAUAUCCCCGUGUGCCUUUGACAGGCAGAUUGAAGCGGCCCAAAAUACUCGUAUGCUCCGGUAUGCUCGUAUGCUCGUGUGCCGCAUAUAGGAAAUUAAGUGUGGACCUAUAUAUAGAGUAUUGCAGCCACUGUCUGGGUCUGGGUCUGGGUCGGAGAGCUUGGGGAUGCAGCGCCGGCGUCAGUCACGUGCUGCGGCAAGCAGCAGAUCCGAAUCUGCGUUGCAAGUAGUGGGAAUAUAAUUCAGCGAACGUGCGCGCGCAUUGACAUCAGCAAAAUGGACGGCAGAAGAAUCGGGAGCUGGCCCCCAGUAGAUGGAUGUUUGUCCCAAGACCCGAGACAGAUUGAUGGCACCCCACUACACUUGGAUUGUCUACCAACUGAAUGUCCAAACAACAAGCAAAGCCUUAAGGCUUAGUUAGGCCAUUCGAUAGUUCUUACGAUAACACGUAUUUGAUAUGGUAAUCCAAUGCUCACCUUUAAAUCUUUUAAACUACGAUAUAAGGCCUAAAGAAACCCACUGGUUUCAAAUACACAUACUUCCUGCACAAAGAGCACAAACUGUCUGAAACAUAGACAGCUGUUUAUGUUGAUCAUGAAUAUGUGUAUGCUACUCAUUGGAUUGGAAGUGGUACGGCAGAAAGUGCAAUACGCUGUGCGAGUGUAUAGAGUACCCGAGAGGUAGCAUAGGGCAAUGUAAGCGAAGGGUAUAUGCUGUUGGGGUUUCAUCCUAGCCGCUAAAUGUUGCCUAUAUUUAAGGGCCUUUGAAAUGGAGUUGAACUUGUAGAUAAAUGUCGAAAUCAGAAUAUCAAAUAAGGCAAAUAAGUCUUCAAGGAGUAUUCAGCACUCGAGUGAAUUUUUUACUGAAAUAUUGACUUAAAAUUAGAUUCUGAAAUGCCCCUUAAAAGGUUCUUCACCCCAAACUUCAAUGGGUAGCAUGUAUUUGUUAGCCCCAGAUGGUCAUUCCUUGUCUAAUUGACGAUGCCUUAUGUGAACUUCAAAUAUAUAUAAAUAUACAUAUGCA
rnacentral:sRNA from 1 species